GCGACCUAUGCCACAGCGGCAGUGGUGCUGGAUCCUCAAGCCGCCGUGCUGGGCUGGGCACCGAACCGGCCCCCUUCCGCAGAGACAGAUGGGAUCAUUAACCCACUGUGGCACAGUGAGGACUCCUGUGAACUCUUUUAAAACUGUCUCUGGAGUCACGGAGAUACUGUUUGGAGGUACUGUUGCCUGAAAAGCCUUCAGGCUUCUAGAUGCACUGAGCCUGGAAACAGGCUGUGCUCACAGACGCUGCUGUGUCUAGUUUGAGCAGAAACAGAUUCAAUUAUAACAGAGAAGUGAGAUUCGGUGGCGGGGUCAGAGAACCAGGUAUGGAUGCCAUUUGGGGAUCUUUCUGUAAAUGAAUUGCCUGUUCAUGGUAUUUGCCUAUUUUGUCCAUUUUUAAGAGCUUUUAAUAUAUUAGGGAUAUUAGCCUUUUAUCUGUGAUUUUUUUUUUAAUUAAAAAAAAUUUUUUUGGGCCAUGUCCAUGGCAUGUGGAAGUUCCUGGGCCAAAGAUUGAACCCGCCCUGCAGCAGUGACCCAAGCCACCACAGUGACAAAGUUGAAUCCUUAACCUGCGCUGCCACAAGGGAGCUCCUAUCUCUGAUUUAUGUUGAAAAUACUCUCUCCCACCUUGUCAAUUGCCUCUGACUUUGUUCGUGGUGUUUUUACCUUAAAAAGGUAUCUCUUAUUUUCAGGUAGUUAAAUUUAUUUACCUCUUCUUUUAUUGCAUCUGGAUUAGAUCUGUUUGGAGUUUACUCAUAGGUGAAAUACGAGGUAUUUGAUUUUGAAACCCAAUUUUAUGAAAUGUCUAGGUCUGCCAAGGGUUGCAAAUGAAAAUCCUUUCAAGAGCUAAGCAGAAUGUGAGAUGGGAGAAGAAAAGAGGGAGGGGGUUCCCUUCAUGGCUCAGCAGUAAUGAACGGACUCGGAUGAUCCAUUCCUGGCCUCGCUUAGUGGGUUUAGGAUCCGGCAUUGCCGUGAGCUGUGGUGUGGGUCACAGAUGCGGCUCGGAUCCCGCGUUGCCGUGGCCGUGGUGUAGGCCAGUAGCUGCUGCUCUGAUUGGACCUCUAGCCUGGGAACCUCCAUAUGCCGUGGGUGCGGCCCUAAACAACAAACAAACAAAAAAACCACACCCCCCCCCACACUCAUAGGGGGUAUGCUAGUUUCCUAAGGCUGGCAGAAACAAAUGACCCCUAACUUGGGGCCUGGAAACAACAGAAAUGUAUCACCUCAGCUCUAGAGGCUGGAAGCCCAAGAUCCGGGUGUGGGCUGGCUUCGUUCCUUCCCGGGGCUCUGAUGAGACUCUGUUCCAGGCCCUUGUCCCAGGUCCCGGUGACUGACAGCAGUCCUUGGCAUCCUUCACGCAUUGCCACGUCGCUGCAAUCGCUGCUCCGUCCGCACGUGGCCUUCUUCCCUGCGUGUCUGUGUGCCAACUUUCCCGCUCGGCCUAAGGCUACCAGUCAUUGGAUUCAGGGCCCGCCCCACUCCAGUCUGACCUCAUUUAACCUGAUUACACCUGCAAAGACCCUGUAUCCUUCGUAGGUUCCGGGGAGACAGGCAUUUGUGGGGGGGAGCCCCCGGCGCCUGUGGGUGGAGAGCCUGGGGACCUUCCGUGGAUCUCAUGUCGCUGUUGACUGGUCCUUCCUGGUGACGAAGGGUCUGCUGUGCUGGGAAACUCCUCAGACGCCAUUGACUCUGAAAACGGGUUUUGAAAAACUUCGACAGCUUGUCAUUGUCACAUGAUCGGAGAAAAGGCGAAAGAACCCAGAGGCCGGCUCUCCUGAGUCUGAACAAAGAGUUGGCCUUCCCUCCAGCCUUCCGGGGGCAGGCUUGUUUGGCCUCAAUAUUUGGGUUUCCCCUGGGAGGCCAGGCCCUUGCUCUGCUUUUUCCCUCAGUGUAAAGGGGUGAAUUCAUGCGAGUCCCUCGUGCCAAGAGAGAGCCCAUUUCAUCCAAGAGAAAGGGGAGGGCAGUGUCCCCCACCCUGAGAGCCAGGGGAGGGCUCAUCUCCCCUGAAGGCCUCCCAGGGGAGGGAGAAUUCUGAAGACCCCCCCAACCCUGGAAUUGCCCCCCCCUUCGAAAAUUAACCCAGAUGCUGUUGUGAAGAGAUUUUGCAAAUGGACGGUCCCAAGUCAGGUGACCUUAAGGCUCGGAGAUGGUCUGUGUGGGCCGGACCCAUUCAGGUGAAUCUUGUCAAAUCAGAGUGAUUUCUCUGGUGGGAGGAGGCGUCAGAGAUUUUCGAAAGGUCAGAAACACAGGCCACGCCAUCCCCUUUCUGCUCCGAAGUCAGAAGGAGCCACCAGGGAAGUGUGAGCCACCCAGCCAGCAGGGGCCAGACCCACAGCCUCCAGGAUGCAGGUUCUCGGGCGGAGGACAGCCCCGUGGGGGGACACCUGGGUUUUCCCCUGAGACCCGAACAGAGCACCUAGUCGAGCCUGUUCAGAUUUCUGGUCCACGGAACUCCAGGUGAUAAGUGGGGUUAAUUUAAGCCACUAGAUUGGUGGUGAGUCGUCAUGCAGCGGGAGAAAGGACCCCGCCUCUGGUCUCGGAAGGUCGGAGGAGAAGCAGAGAUUUGGGAAAUCGGGCGACUCCACUGUUUCUGGCUGGUCCACCCCCGUCCUGUGUGCGUUGAGUCCUGCCACAGCGCCUGUGCCCUGCCCGAGACCGCAACACCCCGCAGUGAGCCAGCCGGCUGUGCAGAGCAAUCAGACACGUGACCGUCUUGUGGUCAACUCGUGACUGGAGACCUGGGAACCAGGUGGGUCUAACCACAUUUUUUCUGGCUGUUUUAGAACUUCCUAGAACCAAGGAAUCUUGAUCAAGUUCCUUAACAGUAUCAAUUCCCC
rnacentral:lncRNA from 1 species